rnacentral:rRNA from 1 species
CUUGACACUGAACAUUGAGCCUUGAUGUGUAGGAUAGGUGGGAGGCUUUGAAGUGUGGACGCCAGUCUGCAUGGAGCCGACCUUGAAAUACCACCCUUUAAUGUUUGAUGUUCUAACGUUGGCCCCUAAUCGGGGUUGCGGACAGUGUCUGGUGGGUAGUUUGACUGGGGCGGUCUCCUCCUAAAGAGUAACGGAGGAGCACGAAGGUUGGCUAAUCCUGGUCGGACAUCAGGAGGUUAGUGCAAUGGCAUAAGCCAGCUUGACUGCGAGCGUGACGGCGCGAGCAGGUGCGAAAGCAGGUCAUAGUGAUCCGGUGGUUCUGAAUGGAAGGGCCAUCGCUCAACGGAUAAAAGGUACUCCGGGGAUAACAGGCUGAUACCGCCCAAGAGUUCAUAUCGACGGCGGUGUUUGGCACCUCGAUGUCGGCUCAUCACAUCCUGGGGCUGAAGUAGGUCCCAAGGGUAUGGCUGUUCGCCAUUUAAAGUGGUACGCGAGCUGGGUUUAGAACGUCGUGAGACAGUUCGGUCCCUAUCUGCCGUGGGCGCUGGAGAACUGAGGGGGGCUGCUCCUAGUACGAGAGGACCGGAGUGGACG